UUGUAUUUUUUAUUAUUUUAGACCGAUUUCAUAUUUAAACCAAGAGUUAACUCCUUUUUAAUACAGAUGAACCAAUAAUAGUUUCAAAUUAUUAGUAAAUUGCACGGUGUAUAUAAUUUUGAUAUAUUGCAAAAAAUUUUUAGAUGAAAACAUCGAACCUCGCCGUGUGUGGCUAAUCUCUUCUCGGAAGCAGAGCUCAUGUUUUCAUGUGACAUUUGGCACACGCCGGGCGCGAGCCGAAGCGCUAGAGUUUUUUCUUUUCCACGAAUUUUCUCUUCCGAUUCUCAAGGCCAAUCAGCUACUUGCCCCCCUGGCCCCCCUCCCACGAUUCGCCAGGCGACUCAGUACCGUGGCGAACACGCAAGGGGAAGGUCACGUCGUUUACGCUUCGCGAUUGUGCGUUUUUCGACUCCGUAAAAGUCGUCUUUUUAGUGCCGCGAAAUGAGAUCUCGUCGCGUUUCUCACCGUCCUUUCGUCGAUCGAGAGUGAGUUUCCCCGUGGAAGACAUCGCCGGGGAUGUCGAACCAAGUCGACAACAUUAAUCGGCGGGCAAAGUGGUCGCGUCCCGUCUGUGGGGAAAUUAGCGUAAAAAUCGUGUCGAAAUUUUCGUCGCGUCGCGUCGUGUACAAGGUGACGGCCAUAUUGUGACGUAAUUAGUGCACAACGGUCGUACUUUAGGCUUAGGACCGAUUUCACCAACUCCGGUUACCUUAACCGGCCGGUUAUUCCAUUGGAAUUGACCAAUCGUAUUUGUCAUUAAGCAAAAUUAACAAAUGCGAUUGGUCAAUUCCAAUGGAAUAACCAGCCGGUUAAGGUAACCGGAGUUGGUGAAAUCGGCCCUUAGUAGUUGACAGUCGCCCGCGUUCGCGUCGUGUCUCGUCUCCGCUCGACACACAGUUGUCCCUUCCGUAUCAAGGGUUUCUUGCGAGUUUGCGAUCAUUUUGCCGUCCUCUCGUCGAUCGAGAGCGAGUUUCCCCGCGAAAGGCAUCGCCGGAGAUGCCGGUGUCCGGUGUACGCAACGAAGUGUCGCGUUGCCGUCAUUAAUUGUCUCGUUUUUUUAGUGCCGCGAGGCGAGAUCUCGUCGCGUUCCUCGCCAUCCUCUCGUUGCGUGCCUCGCCAUCCUCUCGUCGCGUUCCUCGCCAUCCUCUCGUCGCGUUCCUCGCCAUCCUCUCGUCAGUCCAGAACGAGUUUCCCCGCGGAAGGCAUCGCCAGGGAUGUCGAACCGAGUCGACGACACUAAAUGGCGUGCAAAGUGGUCGUGAUUCUUGCGUCCUUAGUGUUUCUGAUCGUGUUGAGUGCAUGUAGCGAGUGUGUGUGCGAACGCAACAAGAAAAACGUCAUCGAUUCAUCGGCUGGGGAUGCUGGAAUGAUGGUUAAACUUGAUUAAGGUCGAUGACAAAUUGUCAAGUUUAGGACACAUAUGAGAGGUGAUGCCGCUACCGCUUUUAAAAUACUUCUUGGUAAGUGGUUUGUUUUCGUAAUGCACAAUUUGUCUUAUUAAUAAAUUGCUCUCGUUCAUAUAGAUUUCUAUGCUCAAAAAAGCUCAUUUUGCAAUAGGUUGAGUGCUAUCGGACUCUAUAAAUUCGAAAAUAUAAUUAGUUCAAAUAAAUAAUAUAACUACUGUUAUCAUUUACUCGAAACAAUUUUUGUAAAUUGCAUUGUGCGACUUAAUUGAUUGUUAUUAUAGUUAUCGAUAUUAUAAUAUUUCCAUUGUGGAAGUAUUUAUAUUAUUUUUGUAUUAUUUGCAAAGUUUACCACUAUGUAAACCAAUUGCUCUCCAUCAGCUGUAAUAAGAAGCACAUAUUUUGAAAGUGUUGAAAAUUUGUCUGGGAAAAUUAUGUGCGUUUAGGUUUUAAAUACUUUAAUUAUUUUCCUUUACCGUGCUUUUUUCAAUGGCACGACCACUUAUUGAACGGCUUUUAUAAUAUAUAUUAUGUGUAAUUGACGUAUUCUCGUAUAUGUCUGGGGUUGCAACAGAAAUGUCCGAGGUUUUUGGCCUGUAAAUUCUAGUUUAAAAAAUUUUAAUAUGGCAACCCUAGUUGUAAGUUUAUUAAAUAUUUUAAUUUUACUAUAUUUAAUUGUUGCUCAGCCUCUCAAUAAGUGGUCGUGCCAUUGGAAAAAGCACGGUAAAGGAAAUAAAUAAUUAAAAUAUUUAAAAUCCCGGACGCACAUAAUUUUUCCGGACAAAUUUUCAACACUUUCAAAAAUCUCUGGACGACCCUAAAUGUUCUUAAAAAAAGGACAGUGUCCGGGGAAAAGAGGACGGAUGGCAAUCCUAUCCAUAUAUGAAGAUUAUAGGUCCUUGUUUUAAAUAAAAUUAUAUAAUUUUUCUAGAAAGCAAUAACGCAAUGCAAAUAAAAGUUUAUUCCGGGUGGUAACUUGUGCUUCAAUUUAUUCUAAUUUACCUAAAGCAAUAAUAAUUCAUAACACAAUACAUAACGUUUCGAACUAUUUCAGAUCCUCUUCAGUAUAAUACAAAUUUGCACUAAAUUGUGUCAAACCGCAAAUCUUUCAAACAUAAAUAAAUUUCUGUUGAACAUGUAGAAAGAUCAUAGAAACGCAUAGAAAUAAUGUGUCAAUCAAAAAAUUUCGAUAAGAUUACAAUUGAGUAAAAAAAUCAAAAAUUAGUCAUUGUAUAAAGUUAAGAUUCGUGUUAUUGCUGUAAAAAUUAGUUAUAUAAAGCAUUUCUCGAAUAGUUUAGUGACAAUUUGAACGAUUAAAACUUACAUUUGUAUUUAUAAUGAGAUGUUAUUUGACCGAAAGACGAUGAUCUUGUAAGAAUAAAUAAUAUUCGGUAAAGGAAAGAUUUUAUAAACAAGUUUGUAUACAAAAACCGAACAAAAUUUAUAUAUAAAGUUAAGCAAAUCAAUCUUAUGUUAAACAUUCUUUUUUAUCUGAAAUUAUGAUAUUGUCUGAAUUAAAAUUUUAUGUCAUGCUCAUUUUAUGUUCUGUAAAUUACCGAAAGUUGCAUUAUGCUUCUAUUGGUUAUUUUUGUGUUUUUUUAAUUCUUGUUUUUAGGCAUCUUGAUCUAUCCCAUGCAUCAUAGUCAUUACAAAUAAUUCUGUAUGUUACAUUCCUGCACAUUUUUCACGAAUGUUGCAAUCAAAUUAGUAAUCAACGUGAAUUUAUUAACUUAUUAAAGCCCAUGGAUUAACUAUUAAAGUCGACAAAAGAAUAACUAUUGAAAAUAAGACUAUGGAGCAUAAAAAACUUUGACAUAAAGAAUAGAGUAAAGGCACCGAACUUGGAACACCACUAUAUUUCUUAAAUAAUAGUUGGAAAAAUAUUUUUGAAAAUACUAAUUUAAAUUAGAAAGUAUCUUCUAUCAGAUAACAUAGUAAUGUUUAUAAUAUUGUUUCGUAUUUUUUAAAUAAUUAUUGUUUUUGUCAUACAUGUAAAAAAAAUCUGACAAAAUCGACGCCUAAUUUGGAACUCGUACGAUCGAAGUAUUAAUGUUUUAUUUAUUUAUACAUUUUACCUAAAUUACGUAAUUCUAUAAACUCUAUGUUAUUCCCUUAGGAAGCAUAUUUUUUAACAGGCACGCUUUUUUCUACUCUUCUAUUGUCUCUCGUGAAAUCUCGCCUCGAAACAUUUAAGUUGUUAUACAUAUAGGUUAUAUAUUAAAGUUACGAUUACAGCCUAGCUAUACUACGGUCAAAGCAUAGUAACAGUUAUGACGUUUUCGACCGGGCAAAAUUGAGUUGAGUUAAUCCAUCUCAGAUUCUUAUUCUUUUAGAACUGGCCAAUUACAAUUAUUCCAUUCUUCAGAAGAAGGGCUGUGAUUGGCUUUAUGACGUCAUUAAUUGCUUCUGGAGCGAUUAAC